UAGGGAAUCUUCCACAAUGGACGCAAGUCUGAUGGAGCAACGCCGCGUGAGUGAAGAAGGUUUUCGGACCGUAAAGCUCUGUUGUUGGUGAAGAAGGAUAGAGGUAGUAACUGGCCUUUAUUUGACGGUAAUCAACCAGAAAGUCACGGCUAACUACGUGCCAGCAGCCGCGGUAAUACGUAGGUGGCAAGCGUUGUCCGGAUUUAUUGGGCGUAAAGCGAGCGCAGGCGGAAGAAUAAGUCUGAUGUGAAAGCCCUCGGCUUAACCGAGGAAUUGCAUCGGAAACUGUUUUUCUUGAG
rnacentral:rRNA from 1 species